rnacentral:rRNA from 1 species
GAUGAACGCUAGCGGCAGGCCUAACACAUGCAAGUCGAGGGGCAGCACAGAAACAGCAAUGUUUUGGUGGCGACCGGCGGACGGGUGCGUAACGCGUAUGCAACCUACCUUUAACAGGGGGAUAACGGAGAGAAAUUUCCACUAAUACCCCAUAACAUCGAUCAAGGCAUCUUGAUUGGUUGAAAACUCCGGUGGUUAGAGAUGGGCAUGCGUUGUAUUAGGUAGUUGGUGAGGUAAUGGCUCACCAAGCCUACGAUACAUAGGGGGACUGAGAGGUUAGCCCCCCACACUGGUACUGAGACACGGACCAGACUCCUACGGGAGGCGGCAGUGAGGAAUAUUGGUCAAUGGGGGCAACCCUGAACCAGCCAUGCCGCGUGCAGGAAGACGGCUCUAUGAGUUGUAAACUGCUUUUAAACAGGGAUAAAGCACAGUAUGUAUACUGUGUUGAAGGUACUGUAAGAAUAAGGAUCGGCUAACUCCGUGCCAGCAGCCGCCGCGG